CGGCAGGCCUAACACAUGCAAGUCGAGCGAGAAAGGGGCUUCGGCCCUGAGUAGAGCGGCGCACGGGUGAGUAACACGUGAAUAAUCUGCCUCCGGGACCGGGAUAACAGACCGAAAGGACUGCUAAUACCGGGUAAGCCCACGGAUCAACCGGGUCUGAGGGAAAAGCAUGGGAACCUUCGGGUCCAUGCGCCUGGAGAUGAGUUCGCGUCCCAUUAGAUAGUUGGUGAGGUAACGGCCCACCAAGUCGACGAUGGGUAGCUGGUCUAAGAGGAUGAUCAGCCACACUGGAACUGAGAUACGGUCCAGACUCCUACGGGAGGCAGCAGUGGGGAAUCUUGCGCAAUGGAGGAAACUCUGACGCAGCCAUGCCGCGUGAGUGAUGAAGGCCCUCGGGUUGUAAAGCUCUGUCUAAGGGGACGAAUGUGGUACGGUCCAACAGGCCGUAUCAGUGACGGUACCCUUAAAGAAAACACCGGCUAACUCCGUGCCAGCAGCCGCGGCAAUACGGGGGGUGUAAGCGUNGUUCGGAAUUACUGGGCGUAAAGGGCGUGCAGGCGGC
rnacentral:rRNA from 1 species